GACGAACGCUGGCGGCGUGCCUAAUGCAUGCAAGUCGCACGCAGUCGCUUUGGCGGCUGAGUGGCGCACGGCUGAGGAACACGUGGGAACCUGCCCGACCGUGGGGGAUAACGCGCCGAAAGGCGUGCUAAUCCCGCAUACGUUCGCAAGAAGAAAGCAGUAAUGCGCGGUUGGAGGGGCCUGCGGCCCAUCAGGUAGUUGGCGGGGUAACGGCCCCCCGAGCCAAUGACGGGUAGCUGGUCUGUGAGGACAGACAGCCAGACUGGGACUGAGACACGGCCCAGACUCCUACGGGAGGCAGCAGCAAGGAAUUUUUGGCAAUGGGCGCAAGCCUGACCGAGCAACGCCGCGUGGAGGAUGACGGCCUUCGGGUUGUAAACUCCUUUUGCGGGGGAUGAUGAUGACCGUACCCCGCGAAUCAGGCUUGGCUAACUUUGUG
rnacentral:rRNA from 1 species